rnacentral:lncRNA from 1 species
AAAGCCAUUGUCUUAAGAAACCUUAGAUUUCGGGGCUCCUACUAGAACUUGGGAUACUCUACAUAUAAGCAACACCCCUUGUUUAAGUGCCUUUUCCGACUGAGCCUGUAUAAAAAAGAACGGAGAUAAUCCGGAAUUGAGACUAUUGAAAUGAAAGAACCGAGACCAGUACCAAUAGAGCCACUAAACCUGAACUGAACACAAAAAAGUUUCAGAAACUAUGACGAAAUUUGCAUUCUUUUUUAACAAUUAUGUGUAUUCAUUAAGUUUGUCAUCUUCAUUUGUUUAGUAGUGGGAGGAGCAAAUAAAGACUGAUUGCUUUUAUGAAUUCAUAAUUAUUGUUCGGAGGGUAAUGUCUUCAUAGAAAUUGCUUACAAAUAAAACAACUAUAUGUAACAUUUCUGACGGUAAA